GCAGACGGCGGAGAGCUGAGAUGGAGCGCGCCUUGGCCCGCUGGCCUUGGCCGCAGCUCCUCGGGAAUAAGCGGGGCGCCCACGCGAGAAUCUCCCCACCUGGGUCUCUUCAGGGAUGACAUCAUCCGUUCACCUCCUUGUCUUCAAGGACCACCUCUCGAUGCCACGCUGCUGCCAAGAGGACACUAGGAGCUCCGACCCCUGGAUGGCACCCACAUACAAAGCAGCCACUGGCAGAGAGCCCCCGGGACGAGGAUGAUGGAGGAUGAAGAGGACCACAUCCGACCAGCCAGCUCUCCCUCUUGGCUGAAUGCUUAAACCAUUGCCCUAGUGAGGGGGCAUUGGUCAUUAACCCCUGGCCUUUGCUAUGCUUAUGCCUUGAUGCUGUGAAUACUUUCCUCGAAGUCUCUGCUUGUGUUCAUGUGCCAGCGACCUGGAGUGUUUCCCUCCCCAAGGAGUUGUCAGUCUCUCUCCGACGACAACCCUGUUGUUGCCUGUCUGAUGUCCUGAACAGAAGGAUCCCUUUGGGAACUUCUCAGGAGGGGGACCUGGGCCAAGGGCUCCACCAGCAUCUCACUGGCAAUUCCAAGGCCCAGGGUGGGCUUCUGGAAUGAGCAUGAGCCCUGGACGCCAUGCUACCGAACUGCCAAGGGCAUCCCCACCUCUUCUCAGAUCUCCCUGUUCUUUCUGGGGAACGGGGACAAGAAGAGCAGCCUCCCAGGGUUGUUGUGAGUAUUGAAUGAGAUAAAACUGCCUCAGGCAGUGCUGGGCGUAGAGUUGGUGGUCAGCAAAUGUCUGGUGAAAAAAGUCUGGUAGGUCAGUCCCUUCCCACCCCUGUCACUCUCGUCUCAUGCUUCUCGUUUAUUCUCCCGCAGCGCUCCAGGCAGCCCCUGUCUGCGGGGCUCUCCUUGAAGCAGCCAAGCUUCUCGAAAGGCCUGUCUACACUUGCUGUCUUCCUUCCUCACCUCCAAUUUCCUCUUCAACCCACUGCUUCCUGACUUGUUCUGCUCCGUCGAACGACCCUACCUCAGGUCAGCCCUGUCCUGGGCACACCGGCUGCGACCUGGCUGGGGCCGGCCGAAGAACCAGAUGGAAGAGGCUGAAGCAGCCCCCGGAGGACCACUGGCCUGCACCACCGAGCCUGCCUUGCUGCCCGUUGCCUGACAUCUCAGGCCCAGCCCCGUGCCUCUCCCCUUCCUCCUGGUUUGGGUUGAAGACACUGUCCGGAAUCCUCCUUGGAAGGAGAGCCCUCGACACACGACCCAACACCCUCCAGCGUUCAAAUCGGCAGACUAGGAUGGAAGUGCCCUUGUGAGCUGGGGGGCUCUUCAAAGGGCCAAGGAAAAAACGCGGGCCGAGGGACCAGCCUCUCAAACGGGCUUCGAGCUCCAAUGACCUUCGCUCACCCCCUUGAAAUGUCUGGAAAACAGAAUGGGCAGAUUUUCUGUCUUCAAAGUUUCCGGCUAAACCUCUUCAAGUUCUUUAUUGUUUGGGACUGAGACACUCAGCAAUGUUUCUCCUGCUAGACUGUGAGCCCCUUAAGGGCAAGGAGCUUGCCAAAUUAAUCUUUGUACCUCCAGUGCCCGCCAUGUUGUGAAUGCUGCAUGGAUGGCGUGCCGGGUGAGACGGUCGAAGGAUGAGUGAAUGCAUGGAUGCUGAAUGUACGAUUGGCUCUCCUAGGGUCGAGCUUCUUGAGUGAAAGGCCAGGGAGUCUGUAUGGGUGUUGACUAAUUUCCGAGGGCCUCUAGCAUUUUACAAUGUCCGGUGAUGUAUUAGCAUUUUGUUAAGAUAUUGCUAGUUUAUCUCUGUUAAACAGUGUUUUUCUGUCAUAUUAACUUGCAUUGCUUUGAUUACUAAUGAAGGUUGAGCAUUUUCACAUAUACUUGUUAACCAAUUGUAUUUUCUCUUCUGUGAACUGUUUGUCCAAGUCCAUUGGGUCAUGGCUUUCUGGUGAGACUGGUCAAGGAUGGAAUGGGUGUCCUUGGGACGCAGUGAGCCCUCUGUCACUGGAGGCAUUCAAGGGGCAGGCCAGGCAGACACCUGAUGAGGGUAGUUUAAAGGAGAUUCACAUAGCAGGUGUGGGGUUGGUCUAGAUGGUCUUGCAGGUCUAUUUGACCAAGAUUUGCUUCUCCCUGGAAAUGGGGGGUCGGGACAUCUUCCAUUUGGCAGCCUGGCAACAUGUAAGAUGGCAUCCCCUGGGUGGGGGUUCAUGCAUUUAUGAUUUAUAAACUCUACACCGCACCCUCUGGAACUCUCGUGGGACAGGAAUAUCUCUUUGACCCUCCGAGGUCCAGAUAGCCAUGCCUAGCAUCUCGUGCAGUUAGCUGGUGACUUCUCACCAGCCCUGACACCCAGCCCUAUUUCCCUUUGAGGAAGCCAGCCCCCUGGACCAUCACUUUCCACCUCUUAGGGAAUCAGGAGAGGCCAUCUGCUGUCCUUUUCAUUCCCAGUGUCCUGUGAUGUGUGAGCAAAUGUCCCCGAGGCCUUAGAUGGAUGGCACGUAUUGGAUCAGGACUGGUGGAGAAUCCUUCAGGUUUUCUUCAGUGGGGCAAUUAAAUUUUGUGAUCCGAGCAGCAGGAUGGACCCCAUGGUCUUCUUCCUGGGUUUCCCCUUGUGCCCCACUACAAACGAACCUCGGCUCAAAGGCCAUCGAGACCAUUUGGCGAGGGUGUGUUCCCCACGGAGAGCUUGCCCUACCUUCCAGAACAACCCCUGCCCUCAACAGGGAGCUGCUUCUUCCCGCCGAGCCCCCUCUACUAUAGCACUGAGCGAUGUUUGCCUGCGUCAGAAUUAGUCACGCACAUGUCUGUCCCAGCAUCGAGGCUUGGGAGGCCAGCAAUGACUUCCAGCGUUGAUUUAAUCCAUCCAUCCAUUCAUCUGUGCAUUUGGCCUCCAUUUCUUGACCUGGUGCUUUGGCCUCUCCCUUCCCUGAAAGCAAGCCUUUUCAUUUUGGGCGGGCUGUGUAGCUCCACGGGCUGUGGUCAUGAAGCGAACGCCCUUAUUAGAGCUUUCUCCUCCGGGGUCACUGCUCUGAGCACGUCCCAGCUGGACUCAUCUGCCACUGUCACCCACACGGCUUCUGUCCCCAUGGUGCUUUCCCAGGCAUCACCCACCGCGGCGGGUCCAGGGCCGGGGUCCGAGAGGGCCCCCCACCCGUGAGCGGAGGUGUCCUCCCCAGGCUGCCCUGCCUGGUGCAUGGUCCCUGCCAUGAGCUUUGCCUUCAGCCUCUCUGCUUCCCCCACCCGAUGGCAGUGGUUGUAAUUCACCCCUUCAUUCCUUCAUCCCUUCAUUCCUUCACAGUCGACAAACAUUUCUUCAAAUUAGCUAGUGCUAUACUGGAGUGGGCUCCCAAGGACUCAUCCCCGAUUUCCUCCUUUUGGAAGACAAGACGAGCAUGUCUGCAAGGGGCCGUGUUUGUGUGCUAGCAAAAGGCUCGACCCUUGGUUCAGCCCCAACUUCGAGAUCCGAGUUCCGUUGGAAGUUUGAUUGCCCUCCCCGACUUUGUUCCUUACAAAACUAGGUUGAUUGGUAAUCAGCAAACCGUGUCCCUGGGUGUUCAGAAAUCAUAACCUGUGUCCUCAAGAGGCCAGAGUGAUGGCUAGGGGGUCUGAGAUGAACGGCUGCUUCCGGCUGUGAGCUGGCUUUUAAGUCAUUAGGACACCCUGAUCUUGCCCGGUGGUGAUCUUAGAGUCGUUCCUGUCCCUUUCGAAAUUAGUUAAUGCUGGGCUCUAUUUAGAGAAAACUGGGAGAGAUGAUUGCUCACGGAGGUGAUAAGGAGCAUGCCCUGUGCGGGGGUCUGCACAGAAUUUUCCGUUGGCAGACCUGGGCGUCCAAGACACAUGGUACUUCGCAAACCCUGGACGUGGCCCCAAGCAUUCACGUGGGUCCCAGGCACCCCCCCACCCCCACCCCUUUUGCUCACUGCUGCCCGUGGGGGACAAGGCAGAGGUCUUGGGGCCUCUGCUUAGAAUUCUGCUGUGUAUUCAUUGCACUGGAGAGAGGCCGUAGUGAGCAAAGCCAGGACCCUGGAGCUGGACAAACGUGUGUGGUUUAAACUGACCGUGACAGCUUGAGUCUGUCUUCUGGGACAGAAGCACCCACCUCGCAGGGCUGUUGUGAGGAUUGCUGUAACCGGGGCUUUGAACUGGGAUUCUGACCAGGUGGUGCGCGUGCCCCCGGGGGCUGCUGGGGGUGGGAUGGCAGGCCAGGUGGGGCAGCCUGACUCAGCAGGUUAGCAGGGAAUGGCUUUGCUAGACGUGCAGGGGCACCGUGGGGUAGGGUGCUAAAUUGCUUUGACAUUGUAGGGUUAGACAGGAGUAAUUUUGGCAGGGACCUUUAUGCCGGGGGCAUGGGCCUCUUUGGGCAACACCCUUGCCCCCCCUGGGGUACGCGUUCACGCUCACCUCUGUUAAAGGUUGGAAGCACCCACUGGGUCUUGCCUACCGCUGUGUCUGGCCUGUGGGCGGCACUUACACACGACCCUCCCUCCGCAAGAGAUCUCUCCUGGCAGUGUCCUCCCCGCUGAAAUAUUAGGCAGCAGCCAUCAAAGACACCGCAAUGUCCCCUCUCUCAAUUAACUUUUGGGCUCAAAUGCCAGCAGCCUGGGUGCCUAACACAGUACCAAGCCAGUGGUAGGGGUCGCCUUCCAUUUUUGUUGAAUGGAUGCAUGGGUGAAUGGCCAAAUAACGGAUUGUAACCAAAUGCAAGUGGCAGAUGUUAAAACCCUUACUAAGAGUUUGUAUUUCGCUCCUGAUUAACCUGUUAACAAUUGUUGUAUUGUAUCUUAUGGACUUCUGUAUGACUCGUGUUGUUUGAAAACCAGGAUUCUUGUUUGGGGUGUCGUGAGAUGAAACUUUUUAGCUGUCUGUGUUCUGUGUUAGGAAUUAGAACCCGGCAGACCCGGGGGGCCACCUAACUAACUGUGCAGUGCUGGGCAAGUCACUUCUCCUCUCUGACCCUUGGUCUCUCUCCUUUUCUCUGAUGGGUCACCAGAAAGCUCCCUCCACUGGGUGGUUGGGAGGCCAGGGGCUGGGUCAGCUAUAACAGAGCUGAUCAAACGCUGGCGCUCAUUGAGGAUCGUCGUAUGUUGGGGGUUGUCCGGCAGGUUCCAAGCCUUUGCGGGAUCUAAGUGAGUUGAAAGUCAGUAUUGAUUUUAUGCUCAGAUUGUAUUUCGACAGUCAAUGGAACGUGUAAGACAGAGGCUGAGCGGUCUGCAAGUAUUUAGCGAGUUGGCCCAGGGUAAAUACUGGUUUGAUUAAUGAGUGACGGCUUUUUUCCUUCCUUGGAGCCUCCCCCCCACCCCCACACCAUCCCACUUUCCAUCCAGGCUGCUGCUUCUCACGUGGAGGGGGCAGCAGGCUGGGGGGACUGCUUCGGGCUUGCUGUACCUGUUCAUGCCGUGUCUGAUGGUGUCUGAGGGCUUCUGCAGACACCUGUGUGUGCCCCGGGUCGAGUCCGCCAGGCAGGAAGAGGUUUAGAGGGGCUUCUGCUGAUGUCUUUGGGGACAUCUUCUUCUGCCCUUUAGGGGAAAGGCCCCUGUGCUCCUCAUUUCCUCACCCCUCUUCCUUCUUUCUCUGGCUGUAAGGUGAAGAAAUCGGUCUGCAGUUUCGUCUGGGGACCUGGAACCAAGCUGGGGCAGGGCUGUUAACCACCAUGCCCCGCAAGCUUCCUGCUUGGUUGGGGGUGUGGGCCCCGUUUCUCGAUGAGGGAGCUGAGAUUCAGAGAGAGCUGGGGAUCAGAGCCAGGGAUGAGCAGUCCUACCUGAGGAGCUAGUGCCCUUUGACCCUGCCAGCCAAUCUCUCCCAGUUACUGUGGCCGGCCUCUGCUGGCCCAUGUGUACCUGGCCCUGCCCCUGGCAGGGGUCACAGUGCGCCACAGCUCAGUUGGGUCCCAGUGGGCCUUGGAAGCUUGGCUGCAUUUGAGAAGAUAUUAGGGGUCAUUUCGGGUUGGGGGGUUUCUUCAGGAGACCCCUGAGUUUCUUUCCUGGCCCUUGUCUCAUGCUUGUGAGACAGAGCAUUCUGCUUUGUCAUCCCCAAACGCCAUCUGCACCCCCAGCCUCUCUCCUGUCCUGCCCUCCCUCUGUGGAAGCCUCACUGGCCUCCCCUUCUUUCUGCCUCCUGGGAGCUCUUUAUGGCCCUCACUGCUGUCCACCUGAUCAGCUCUUUCAGUUGCCUGAGAUUUUACUGUGAGGUCUGGCCUCCAGCCCUGUGCGCCCGCCUCCAGGAGCUCUGGCACCGGACUCCCCGGUACUCCCCUCCCUUGGGCUUAGCUUACGGGAUCCUCGCUGUGUCACUGUUUGCCGUCUGCCCCGUGGACAUCACACAUCCUUGAGAACAUGUCUGAGCAGAGGGGGGCCUUGCCUCAGUGCUCCCGAGGGACCCCAUGGGAGGGACAGGUACUAGGCCCCUCCUCCCAGGGGACUCUGAGUCUCUGUUCAGGUGUCUGCUCCCCGAUAGGCCUCGGGCUCCUGGAAGCUUAAGCUUGUGUGUGACCCAGGAUGAGGGAGUCUCCCAGGGGCCCAGUGUUGACAGGUCACCCACCCCUUGAAAUGGGCAGGGCUGGGUCCCCGUUUCCUGAGGGCAGGUGAGGGAGUGGAGGUUCAGUGGGGUCACAGCCAAGCUGUAGUUGAACCCUUACUCUGAGAUUUGUGCUUCUCUGACCCUUCACUUCACUAGUAGGCGCCUAACAGAUGCUCACUGACUGACGAGGCAGGGUUUUUCAUGGACGUGAAGAACUGAAUUGAUGGUCGGCUGAUAGGCAAGUUGAAUCCACAUGUGUUUCUUUAGGAGGAAAGUGUGUUUUUUUGGCAAAGACUCUUCAGGGCAAUUCCUGAGGGUCUCCGCCUAUGGUGGGGGCUUCCCCUGGGGCAGGUGCAGCCCAGAGGAGGGUCCCUCCUGAUAGAAAUGUUUGUCUUCUGCCCAUUUUUGAAGUAUUUAUGUCUAGAAUAAAACUUCAUUUAGGCUCAAGUGUCCUCGUUUGUGUUGUGGCCCAGGUGAUUUUGAUAAUGUGGCAUUUGGUAAUGCCCAGGCUGGAGGGAGGCCCUGGUAACGCCCUCCUCUGUGGCUGGCGGUGGGCCCUGAGGGUGUGGAAGUCUCCACAUGAAACGGCUUUGUUUCCAGCCCUGGUGACAACCUGUAUGGCACGUGCCGAGUGUGAGAUGCAGCCGUGGGCACCCCAAAAAUGCGGGGGGAUUGGACUCCAGACCUUGGUUCCUUUUAUCUGCUCUCACCCUCAAAGCACAGUACCUGGGCACAAGUUGAGGGAUGGGACCCUGGAGGUCUUGCUCUUUUGAAUUCUGGUCCCGGUGUCACCGUUCGCCAGGGCAAUGGCCUUGGGCAGGUUACAGGCAUCCCGAGUCUUGGUUUUCCCACCUGUAGAAUGGGUACUGAAUGAUAAUAUCCGCUCAAAGGACGCUGGUAGCCCCCGAGUGCAGGCUGCGUGCCUUGCUGCACCCCAUAUGCUGGCUCUGAGAAUCAAGGUCUGGGUUUGAGGCCACUCUGGGGCCUGUGUGUGUGUGUGUGUGGCCUGGCCAAAUUUUUGCUCACCUGUAACCUGGAAAUAGUCACGUUUACCUGGCACGGUUAUUGUGGGAUUCAAUGAGAUUGUUGAUGUGAAAAUAAAUGCUUUGUUACCUGGCACACGGGUGGCCUCGCCCCUUGUUCUCUGGUGAACCCUGGGUCUGACCACAGUGCCUGCGGCCUAUGGGCGCUGGUCACAGAAGCUCUGUGCUCCCCAGAACUACAGUGGCCCAAGCGGCUGGUGUGCGGAGUGGAGGGAGUCAGGGAAGCACGCGGCCAGCUCUGGGGAGGCAGCGAGGGAGGGAAGGGUUUGCUUUUAAAUACAGAGAUUUAGCAGGGUCAGAGGGGGUGGGGUUGAGGCCAAAGGUGUCGGGGGUGGGGGUGGGAUCAGGGAGAACUUUUAGAAACCCUCAGAGGAUGGGGAGGCUGAUAUUUUAGAGAACAACCAAGUUUAAUUGGCAGUGGUUUGGGCAGGAUAGCUGGGGUGGUGUUUAGAAAGGCCAAGAGUUCCAGAUUCUGGGUUAGUGAGGUGAGAACCUUCAGAGGUCCCGGGUGCAGGAGGGUGUCGGGACUAAGGGUAUGCUUCUGGAAAUCUCUGCAGGUGGGGGAGACUGGGGAAGUGGUGACGUGUGGGAGCCCAGAGAUCGAGGGGCACUAGCUAGAGGGGGCAGGAGCUGGUGCCUGGGUGCUCCCCUGGCCCCCCAAGGCUGCUGGGAGCUGGGGCCUUCUCCCCGUGGUGUCCAGUGGUGCCCAGUCCCGGGGGCGUCUCUCCUCUCCUCGCCCCCCUGGCCUGCCUGUCUGCAUGAGAACUUGUCAGCCAGUGAGACCGGGAGCGGGCCCCUUCAUCUGCACCUGUGUCUCUCCCAGCCUCCGCAGCCACAGGGACACCCUGCACACGCUCCUGCGGGACAGGCCGGACCCAAAGACUCUGCACCAGGGCCGCCCCCUGCGAGGAGGGGCAUGCCCUCCCGGCCUCUCCUUGCGUAGCCACCCGCCCUCUGACUGAUGGACUGCACUGAUCUGAGGCUCAGACACGCGGGCUGGACCCCUACCCACCCCUCACGAACCCUGAGACUUGGGGGAGCCACCGAGCCUUCACUUGUCCACACCUGAGGAGUGGGCUCGGACACCUACCUCACAGGGUUGUUGUGAGGAGCGAGUGAUGUGGUUUGAAAGCGCCUGACCUGGGGCUUGGCACACCCUUUUGUGCUCUCAAUAAAUGUGUUUCUUGCCUUAACAAAAACA